rnacentral:rRNA from 1 species
UACGGAGGGGGCAAGCGUUGCUCGGAAUCACUGGGCGUAAAGGGCGCGUAGGCGGCCUUCUAAGUCAGACGUGAAAUCCCUCGGCUCAACCGAGGAACUGCGUCUGAUACUGGAAGGCUUGAAUCCGGGAGAGGGAUGUGGAAUUCCAGGUGUAGCGGUGAAAUGCGUAGAUAUCUGGAGGAAUACCGGUGGCGAAGGCGGCAUCCUGGACCGGCAUUGACGCUGAGGAGCGAAAGCCAGGGGAGCAAACGGG